rnacentral:rRNA from 1 species
UACGUAGGCAGCGAGCGUUGUUCGGAAUUACUGGGCGUAAAGAGUGUGUAGGCGGUGCUCUAAGUUCGGUGUGAAAUCUCCUGGCUCAACUGGGAGGGUGCGCCGGAAACUGGAGUGCUUGAGCGUGGGAGAGGAAAGCGGAAUUCCAGGUGUAGCGGUGAAAUGCGUAGAUAUCUGGAGGAACACCGGUGGCGAAGGCGGCGUUCUGGACUGUUACUGACACUGAGGAACGAAAGCGUGGGGAGCAAACAGG